GCAGGAAGAUGCCUGGCUCUCUGAGCUGGAGAGCUGCAGCUGGAGGGCCAGACAGGGCUGAAGGCUACAAUGAGGCAUAGUGAGAGAUGCAGGAGCAACACUUAUGAGGCUGCUUUUGCAGAGAUGAGAACUCAAAUACCAUUAAUAUGACUGCCAUACCUUCAGCACAAGAGAAGAAAAAGGCGACAGUCCGAACGAGAGAGAGAGAGAGAGAAUGUAAGG